rnacentral:misc_RNA from 1 species
GAGAGAGAGAGAGAGAGAGUACAUGCUUGGGAUGGGGGUUAACUUCAAAUUAAAAGUAGGGAAAACUGAAGGACAGUGCAUGCUUUGUGCUUCCUGGAUCUAAAAUAACAAAAUAUCAAGGCAUCAACAAAGUAGUAAACCUUAUAGCAAAACUAAGAUUAGUCUUGGCAUGAUGAAAUAUGUAUUUGGAGGAUUAUUUUAAUAUUGUUCCUUUUUCUAUGUGCCCUGCCUUUUCUCUCUGUCUUGUGUGUUUGGUUAAGAUUAGAGAAUCCAUGUGUGAUCUCAAUAAACAACAGGUGGUUGAAUUUUUUUUCUUUUGUUUGUUUAUUUAUGUUGACAAUGCUGACAAAUGAAAAUAAGAACAUGAAAAACAGAAUGUGUACCAAUGAGCGGUGAAAAAUGGAACCUUAGUUUUUCUAGUAUUAUUAUAACAUAUUAGAUUGAAUAUGGUGUACUAGUGCAAAGGUCCUAUCAAGGAGACAUGCUAUAGAAAAUGACUCAAAACUCUUGUGCAUCUAUUCAUGUUUUACGUUUAGAAUAUAGAAUAGUUGGUCUCUCUUCCUAGACCCUUUGAAUACCAAAUCACCAAGGUUAGGGGUUAGCAAAAAUCAGCUAGCCAAAAUCAGUUAUAACCAAAAAACUGAAUAGAACCAUUUUACUUUGUUUCUUUAGGUUCCGUUCAGUUCGGUUCGCUUUUUUAAGAAAGUUUGGUCUUUGAUUCAUUUCGGCUAUGUUCGUCAAAAAAAAAAAAUAGGCCGAAUCUACCGAUUUUCCAAUUUAUGACUUUUUUUCUAAAAACAAUUAUGGGCAUUCAUGUCAUAUAAUGUGUAAUUUAUGGAAUUUAU